rnacentral:rRNA from 1 species
AACGAACGCUGGCGGCAGGCCUAACACAUGCAAGUCGAGCGGACCUUUCGGGGUCAGCGGCGGACGGGUGAGUAACGCGUGGGAAUAUGCCCUUCUCUACGGAAUAGUCCUGGGAAACUGGGGGUAAUACCGUAUACGCCCUUUGGGGGAAAGAUUUAUCGGGGAAGGAUUAGCCCGCGUUGGAUUAGGUAGUUGGUGGGGUAAUGGCCUACCAAGCCGACGAUGCAUAGCUGGUUUGAGAGGAUGAUCAGCCACACUGGGACUGAGACACGGCCCAGACUCCUACGGGAGGCAGCAGUGGGGAAUCUUAGACAAUGGGGGCAAACCUGAUCUAGCCAUGCCGCGUGAGUGAUGAAGGCCUUAGGGUUGUAAAGCUCUUUCAGCUGGGAAGAUAAUGACGGUACCAGCAGAAGAAGCCCCGGCUAACUCCGUG